CAGCCGCCGCGGUAAUACGUAGGGUGCGAGCGUUAAUCGGAAUUACUGGGCGUAAAGCGUGCGCAGGCGGUUCGUUAAGACAGAUGUGAAAUCCCCGGGCUUAACCUGGGAACUGCAUUUGUGACUGGCGAGCUAGAGUAUGGCAGAGGGGGGUAGAAUUCCACGUGUAGCAGUGAAAUGCGUAGAGAUGUGAAGGAAUACCGAUGGCGAAGGCAGCCCCCUGGGCCAACACUGACGCUCAUGCACGAAAGCGUGGGGAGCAAACAGGAUUAGAUUCCCCAGUAGUCCCUGUCUCUUAUAC
rnacentral:rRNA from 1 species